GACGAACGCUGGCGGCGUGCUUAACACAUGCAAGUCGAGCGGUAAGGCCCUUUCGGGGUACACGAGCGGCGAACGGGUGAGUAACACGUGGGUGACCUGCCCUCAGCUCUGGGAUAAGCCUGGGAAACCGGGUCUAAUACUGGAUAUGACUCCAUGACGCAUGUUGUGGGGUGGAAAGCCUUGUGCGGCUGAGGAUGGGCCCGCGGCCUAUCAGCUUGUUGGUGGGGU
rnacentral:rRNA from 1 species